rnacentral:rRNA from 1 species
CAAUAGCGUAUAUUAACGUUGUUGCAGUUAAAAAGCUCGUAGUUGGAUUUCUGGAGGGAGCGUCGGCCCGUAUUUACGAGUGCGUGACGUCUCUGUCCAUCCUUGCGGGAAGGCACGGCAUUGAUUUGUUGUGUCGGAUCGCAUCAUUUACUGUGAAAAAAUUAGAGUGUUCAAAGCAGGCUUUCGCUUGAAUACAUUAGCAUGGAAUAAUAAGAUAGGACUUUGGUGCUAUUUUGUUGGUUGAGCCUAAAGUAAUGAUUAAUAGGGAUAGUUGGGGGUAUUUAUAUUCCGAUGUCAGAGGUGAAAUUCUUAGAUUUUCGGAAGAUAAACUUAUGCGAAAGCAUUUACCAAGGAUGUUUUCAUUAA